rnacentral:rRNA from 1 species
ACGCACGCUGGCGGCGUGCUUAACCCCUGCCAGUCGAACGGAAAGGCCCUGCUUGCCGGGUACUCGAGUGGCGAACGGGUGAGUAACACGUGGGUGAUCUGCCCUGCACUUCGGGAUAAGCCUGGGAAACUGGGUCUAAUACCGGAUAGGAGCCAUUUUUAGUGUGAUGGUUGGAAAGUUUUUUCGGUGUAGGAUGAGCUCGCGGCCUAUCAGCUUGUUGGUGGGGUAAUGGCCUACCAAGGCGGCGACGGGUAGCCGGCCUGAGAGGGUGGACGGCCACAUUGGGACUGAGAUACGGCCCAGACUCCUACGGGAGGCAGCAGUGGGGAAUAUUGCACAAUGGGCGCAAGCCUGAUGCAGCGACGCCGCGUGGGGGAUGACGGCCUUCGGGUUGUAAACUCCUUUCGCUAGGGACGAAGCUUUUUGUGACGGUACCUAGAGAAGAAGCACCGGCUAACUACGUG